ACCUCGCAGUUCCCCACCCGACCUUCCCAUCAACCAACCGGCUCUUCCAGCCUCCGCAGGCCACCGCUCCGCUCCGCCCACCUUCCGCUGCAGCUGCACCGUAGCCGGUCCGUCGUUCGCGACCCGUCGCCGUCAAGCGACCACGCCAAUCACAACCCGUGAUCGCCACCCACCCUCCGGCCUCCGCGGGCGGGACCCGCCGACCAAUGGGCACCCCCUGCCCCAACCUCACCGCUCUCGCGAUUCGCCGCAGCGGCGGCCGCCUGUUCGAGCGGUAGGGAUUUCCCUCGUCGUCGUGGGCGCGGGAGACCUGGUGGCGCUGGCGCGAGGCGAGGCGAGGCCGAGAGGGGGCAACGAUGAUCUUUGGGUCCGGGCUGAAUCUCCUCAGCGCGGCGCUCGGCUUCGGCAUGACUGCCGUCUUCGUCGCGUUCGUCUGCGCGCGGUUCGUCUGCUGCCGCGCCCGGGGCGCGGACGACAGCGCCCCAUCGCCUGUGGACUUUGACGUUGACUUCCCGGCAGAUCUCGAACGCCCGGUAGAGGAUGCUAAUUGUGGGUUGGAACCUUUGGUUAUUGCUGCAAUUCCUAUUAUGAAGUACUCUGAGGCUUUAUAUUCAAAGGAUGAUGCCCAGUGCUCCAUAUGUCUAGGUGAAUACACCGAGAAAGAGCUUCUAAGAAUCAUUCCGACAUGUCGACAUAACUUUCACCGUACCUGCUUAGACUUAUGGUUGCAGAAGCAGACUACUUGCCCAAUAUGCCGGGUCUCGUUGAAAGAGUUGCCUAGUGGCAAAGCUGCCAUAGCACCUUCAUGUAGCAACCCUCAAGUGCGCCCCCGCACUGAGAACUCUGUUAAUCCAGCACCUGACUGGCUCCUCCCUGUUCAUCAUUCUCACAGAGGUCAACAGAACAGUUCAGACACACAAGGAUCAGUAGAAGUGGUUAUUGAGAUACGCCAAUAAGCACAGCAUGAGAUUGUUAUGGAAGAGAACAAAGCGGGAAUAUGUAAUAGGUUUCCUGCCUCGCUGCAUUGUUGCAGCAUCCUAAUUGGAUCGGCAUUGUACGCAAUCUCGUCGCAGGCUCUCAAAGGAUGGGUGCUCAUAAAGGAUGAGGUUCCUGAGGCAUACUCUCAAAACAACCAUGCACGCGGUCGUCGAGAGGGAGUAAGCCAGAAGCAACACCAGCGCGAGAAGGUUGAGCAGAUGUAAUUUGUUCUGGUGACGGCUAGGCCACAACCGAGUAUGUAAUAACCCAUGAUCAGAACGGCUCGG